UUUUUUCUUUUUUAGGGCUGCAGGUGCGGCACAUGGAAGUUCCCAGGCUAGGGACUUCCACAGUUCCACAGUUCCAGCCACAGCAAUGCUGCUGCAGCUGCGACCUACCUUGCAGAUGAGGGUUCGAUCCCUGCCUCGCUCCCUGAGUUAAGGAUCCUGCAUUGCUGCAAGCUGCAGCAUAGACCACAGAGACUAUGAAACCACUGAGGGAAGUAUAUGAGUUAUUGCUGCAUAACGAGUAAUCCCAAGCUGUGCAGCUUAAAACAAAUACUAAAUAUCUCACAGUUUCUGCACCCAACAGACUUAGCUGGGUGCUUCUAGUUCAAGGUCAGGUGUUGUGGUCAAGGAAUUCCCUUGUGGCAUAGUAGGUUAAGGAUUUGGUGUUGUCACUGCAGCACCCAGGGUUGCUGCUGUGGCACGGGUUUGAUCCCUGGCCCUGGGAACUGCGCAUGGUGACCCAGUUGGAGGGAGUUGUGUGGCAGAGUGCAAAUCUCAGAUGGCAAAGCACUCUGCCCCGUUGUGUCCCGACUUGUGCCAGGCACUCGGCUAGGUUUGGAGGAUGCAGAGCAGACAAGGGAAACGGUCCACUGUCCAUAGGGAGUUUUGGUUCAGUGAGAUCCACACCCGACAAUGAAGAUAAAGCAAUGAGAUAAACCUCGGCGCUGUUAACUGCGGGAAGUCAAAACCUGGCCGAGGAGCCAGAGCCACUGAGAGGUCUGGCACAAAGGACCUACGCAACAGGGUUAGAGGCAGUCACCAAGCAGGUGGUGCAGAGGCGGCUGCCCAGGCCCCCUUCCCCCCAGACCCCCAAUGGAAUGCUCGGCAGGGUACCCCGGACUCCCCAGAGGGAAGCGCCCAUCUGGCAGGGGCCAAGGACAUGGCCCAAAGAGGCCCUUUAAAGCAAAGGGAGCUGGAGUUGGGCUCAAGGCUGGUGCUAAGGUCACUUCCCCUCCUGCGAGGCCCUGCUUGGGCAUUUAAAGCGGGGACAAAAGCCACCUCGAAGGAUGCCUGGGGGGAUUUUAGGUGCCCUUCCCCCAUGACAUGGCCCUGGUCUAGUUUCUUCUUCGCACCCAUCAUUCCCCCAGUGUGUGAGCCCCCUGAGCAUCUCCUCACAUUCCCCUCAGCCUCCUCGGACCUACAACCAUGCCUGGCACACAGCAGACCCUUGGCAGAGAUAGGCCGCAUGCAUGGAAUGCCCGGCAAAGAGCAGCGCACCCGGCAGGCCUUUUAAAAUGGCAGCCCUUGUCCCCAGAAAAGGUACAGGGGGAACAGGGCCAGUCCUUGUUAGGAGGGGGCAGCUCUUACUUAGCGUAGUUAGCCUUUCAAAAGCAGGCCGGGGUUGGAAUCCGGAUCCCCGGCUUUGUCUUUAUUCCUCCGGCCCCGCCCUCUCCCCCACCCGGCUCCCAGACUGGGAGGGGAAGGGUUAACUCUGGGAAGCCCCCUCACCACCUGGAUGGGAUGGGGAAGGGAACUUCCUGUUCCACUUUCUCGGAGUCCUUCCCCAGGUUGGCUGAGGCUGCCUGGCCCUGGGGACCUCAGAAAGCCCCCCAGCACCUCCACUUCUAUAGUGGGGACCCCGAGUGGUGAGUUGCAGGGAGGCCUGGGGUGCAGGCUGCCCGGACAGACUGAAGGGGUUGGUGGCAGCUUGGGGAGACAAAGGGGCCUGGGUGGGGGACUAGGGCGCUGGCAGAGUCUUGGGCAGAUGCGGUUGGUCUGUGCGGGGAGCCGUGCGAGGGAGCAGGGGUCCGCCUGUGGCAAAUGGGGUGUGAGGAAGGGUCGCAGGACUUCCUGUGACGUGGGCUUGCUGGACCCACUGGGGAGCGGAAGGCAGGCUCCACGUUCCCCCAGGGGCACUGGCCAGACCCAUCGGCUCAACCCCGCACAGGAGGCGAACCCGGCCAACAAAGCCCAGCGAUCAGGCGCCCGCCAGCUGUGCCCAGGGAGCGACGGGGCGUUCCUGGCCUCGGACCGUGGCUAUGGGCACUCUUGUCGUCUGGCUGGGUCUUGGGGCCGAGCCUCCACCUCUGGGCUGGUCUAGCCUAAGCCUCUCUGCCUCCCUAGGCUCCAAAUUAAGCUGGUCAAAUAUCUCUGGAUGGUGGCGGAGCCCCCCACCCUGCAACCCAGCUCACCCCCCACAGCUGCGCAUAUUCAGAGAGCUUUUGUCCUGGAGACUUGGGGGAGGGAGAGACUCCCAGGCCAGCAUCCCUUGAAUUCCACCUCUUUCCAACCUUUUGGUGAGAUUCCCUUGAAGGUUCCGGCGCCCCAGGGGUCGAGGGCUGGAAUUUCGAAUCCCCUUAUUUUGUGCUGAUUCGUGCUGUAAUAUUCGAAGACUGGGCAAAUCGCAUGGGGCAGGAGGGAAACCGGGUCCUUUCCUGUUUCAGAGCUUUGGCUCAGUGUCACAAUCAGAGUUCUCACCUUAAAGCAAACCGGGGCUCCCCCUGGAGUGACCUCAGCAAGCCCUUCAUCCCCUCAGAGCUU
ensembl:lncRNA